ACCUGGCUGGCUCAGUUGGUGGAGCAUGUGACUCUUGAUCUCAGGGUCAUGAGUUCGAGCCCCAUAUUGGGCG
rnacentral:tRNA from 1 species